rnacentral:rRNA from 1 species
CAAUCUGCCCUUGAGAGGGAAACAACCGGCCGAAAGGCUGGCUAAUGUCCCAUAAGACCACAGGAUGGCAUCAUCCAGGGGUCAAAGCUCCGCAAGGGGCGCUUGAGGAGGAGCCCGAGUCCUAUCAUGGUAGUUGGUGAGGUAACGGCUCACCAAGCCUUUGACGGGUAGCCGGCCUGAAAGGGUGAUCGGCCACACUGGCACUGAGACACGGGCCAG